rnacentral:tRNA from 1 species
GGAGACGUGGCUGAGAGGCUGAAAGCACCUCACUGCUAACGAGGUAGGGGCUUCAAAACCCCUCGAAGGUUCGAAUCCUUCCGUCUCCGCCA